rnacentral:rRNA from 1 species
AUUGAACGCUGGCGGCAGGCCUAACACAUGCAAGUCGAACGAGUGGCGGACGGGUGAGUAAUGGCUGGGAAACUGCCUGCAGGAGGGGGAUAACUACUGGAAACGGUAGCUAAUACCGCAUACCAUCAGAUGUGCCCAGAUGGGAUUAGCUUUUUGGUGGGGUAACGGCUCACCAAGGCGACGAUCACUAGCUGGUCUGAGAGGAUGACCAGUCACUCUGGAACUGAGACACGGUCCAUACUCCUACGGUAGGCAGCAGGUGGGAAUAUUGCACAAUGGGCGCAAGCCUGAUACAGCCAUCCCGAGUGUAUGAAGAAGGCCUUCGGGUUGUAAAGAACUUUCAUAGGGGAGGCGUUACCCGCAGAAGAAGCACCGGCUAACUCCGGGCCGGCAGCCGCGGUAAUAC